AAGUCCCCCGAUUGACGAUUUCACAGCUAUUGCAAUAAUUAUGUUAUAAUUUUAAAAUCGUUUACAUAAUCAUGGUAAUGACAGUAUUGAUUAAUAUGAUUUUGUAAUAUUCAGAUCCUGGGAACUGCUUCGAUAUUGGCUCGGCCUGCCGACCAAGUAUACUGGCUCUAAUCGUCAACAGAUUUAUUAGACUGACCGUGCAGGCCCUGGGAUAUCUCACCGUUUUCAAUUCUUUUGUACCCACGGCGUAUUGAACGUUCUGCGCUGUUGAUUUUUGUUAAGACCGUCCUCCCCUCACCAAAAAGAUCGCAAUAAAAAUCUGUCUACAUUGAUAUCGAUUGACCCGGUAACGUCUGGCUGUUGGACACGGAUCGCUGUGUGUUGUUCUCUUUUGGAGCUCAUCGAUAACGCCAGUAGACUUCUAUCAACCGUACUUCAAUAUUAUCAUUUUUAAUAGACCAUUUCAGUAGUAACAAUUAACAUGUAUUUUAUUGUUCCCUGCGUGGAAAAUUACAUUGAAAUUUUUUAACGCUCAUUAUUUCAGUAUGGAAAAACACAUUAAAAUCCAAGCUGAUAAUUUAAAGUGAAAUAAUAAACUCAAGACGCAUCGUUUAUAAAAACUGUGAAUUUCGAAAAAAAAUUUUGAAUAAUUUCGAGUCUUUGAUUUCUCUAAAGUAAAUACCAUUACAGUAUACACUGGGGUAUUUUAUAAAUCCCCAAUUCGAUAAGAUUUUGUUUACAUCGAGUUUGUAAUGUUAACAACAAAACCAUUUAAAAGUGAGACAAAUAAUAUCUCGCCUGUAAAUAUAUUUUUUUCUCUCAUAUGUCAACCGUGAUUUUCUUAUUGUUGUGUUCUUGAUUUUUACAAUGAUUUCUGCACUCGCCAUAAGCAUAUAUAUAUAGCAUAUACAUAUAUAUAUAUCGUUUUGUAUUUUUAUAUAUAUUUUCUUUGAACUAUUUUUUUUAAAUUGCUCCGAGCAAUUAUUCCAUACGAUUAUGUGUGCUUAUUUAUGUAAGCAAAAUAAAUUAAUAAUAAUCAUGAAAAUCAAUUUUUUACCACGUUAUUAUUUAAAUAUUUAAACUAAUCAUUUCACUUGAGGUACACACGUUAGGGUUAUCUCAUACGAUAUUUCACUUACAGUUUAUUUUCGCGUAUUCAAUAUAUUCUAUAUAAUUUUUUUUUUUAUUUCAACUUGCAAAUAAAAUUCAUCUUAUGUAAUAUAGUUGAGCGAAAGUUCAGUGCUGUAAAUAUCGACCUGUUCUUUUAUCAUAUGGUUUAAAGACUAACCGUUUUUGAUUUAUCUUAUUUUAAAAAACGACCCAUUUGACUAAUAACCAUUGUAACAUGUUGCAUAAUUAUUGUAUAAUCUUUUGUGAAAUAUUUUUACUAAUUAUACCGUUAUUCAACUGACAUUUUACUACCCCGAUACACAAUUGACCACUGUGAUUAUAUAAUACAUAUUAUAUUAUAAUAACAUGAAAAUAAAUCAACAACACGUUUUUAA